rnacentral:pre_miRNA from 1 species
AGAAGAGUUCGCCAAGACCUGGUCCCAGCAGACUGAGGAUAGUACCUCAGUGGUCACUCCACAGUUUGCUGAAGUUGGAGCUGCUAAGA